GCUUGAAAAUGGCCAAGUCGUAACAAGGGAAGGAGUAACAUGGAAUGAGAGUUAGUUCCUAGCCCAGUUCGGGACAGGUAUUGGGAGAAUUCGCGGCCGGUAAAUUAAAUUCGCCGUGUAGGGAGUGGUGUUAGAAUUCAAUGGCCGUCCUUUUUCACUAGUUGGUGGGGUAAAGGCUUACCAAGGCAGCGAUCGGUAGCUGGUCUGAGAGGACGAUCGGCCACACUGGGACUGAGACACGGCCCAGACUCCUACGGGAGGCAGCAGUGGGGAAUUUUCCGCAAUGGGCGAAAGCCUGACGGAGCAAUACCGCGUGAGGGAGGAAGGCUCUUGGGUUGUAAACCUCUUUUCUCAGGGAAGAAAAAAAUGACGGUACCUGAGGAAUCAGCAUCGGCUAACUCCGUGCCAGCAGCCGCGGUAAUACGGAGGAUGCAAGCGUUAUCCGGAAUGAUUGGGCGUAAAGCGUCCGCAGGUGGCACUUCAAGUCGAUUGUUAAAGGUCAGAGCUUAACUCUGAACAGGCAGUGGAAACUGAAGAGCUAGAGUGAGGUAGGGGCAGAGGGAAUUCCCGGUGUAGCGGUGAAAUGCGUAGAGAUCGGGAA
rnacentral:rRNA from 1 species